rnacentral:rRNA from 1 species
GACGAACGCUGGCGGCGUGCUUAACACAUGCAAUUCGAACGGAAAGGCCCUGCUUUUGUGGGGUGCUCGAGUGGCGAACGGGUGAGUAACACGUGAGUAACCUGCCCUUGACUUUGGGAUAACUUCAGGAAACUGGGGCUAAUACCGGAUAGGAGCUCCUGCUGCAUGGUGGGGGUUGGAAAGUUUCGGCGGUUGGGGAUGGACUCGCGGCUUAUCAGCUUGUUGGUGGGGUAGUGGCUUACCAAGGCUUUGACGGGUAGCCGGCCUGAGAGGGUGACCGGCCACAUUGGGACUGAGAUGCGGCCCAGACUCCUACGGGAGGCAGCAGUGGGGAAUAUUGCACAAUGGGCGGAAGCCUGAUGCAGCAACGCCGCGUGCGGGAUGACGGCCUUCGGGUUGUAAACCGCUUUCGCCUGUGACGAAGCGUGAGUGACGGUAAUGGGUAAAGAAGCACCGGCUAACUACGUG